rnacentral:rRNA from 1 species
AACGAACGCUGGCGGCGUGCCUAACACAUGCAAGUCGAACGAGAAAGGGGCUUCGGCUCCGAGUAAAGUGGCGCACGGGUGAGUAACACGUGGGUAACCUGCCUCUAAGAUUGGGAUAACUCGUCGAAAGAUGAGCUAAUACCGAAUAAGACCACAGUUCCCGCGGGAACAGGGGUCAAAGGUAGCCUCUGCUUGCAAGCUAUCACUUAGAGAUGGGCCUGCGCACCAUUAGCUAGUUGGUAGGGUAACGGCCUACCAAGGCAAAGAUGGUUAGCUGGUCCGAGAGGAUGAUCAGCCACACUGGAACUGAGACACGGUCCAGACUCCUACGGGAGGCAGCAGUGGGGAAUAUUGCGCAAUGGGCGAAAGCUUGACGCAGCAACGCCGCGUGAGUGAUGAAGGCCUUCGGGUCGUAAAGCUCUGUCGGGAGGAACGAAUGCUCCUGAGGUUAACAGCCUCGGGAGGUGACGGUACCUUCAAAGGAAGCACCGGCUAACUCUGUG